rnacentral:rRNA from 1 species
CCCUGCCAUUUGUACACACCGCCCGUCGCAUCAAUCGAUUGUACAUCUCGGUGAAUGAUUCGGAUCGAGUCGUUGCUAGCAAUAGCAUUGAUUUGAGAAGUCUUGUAAACCCAGAUCUAUAGAGAAUG